rnacentral:misc_RNA from 1 species
CUUGGUCAUUUAGAGGAAGUAAAAGUCGUAACAAGGUCUCCGUUGGUGAACCAGCGGAGGGAUCAUUACAGAGUUGCAAAACUCCCUAAACCAUUGUGAACGUUACCUAAACCGUUGCUUCGGCGGGCGGCCCGGGUCCUUCCCGGCGCCCCCCCGGCCCUCGCGGGCGCCCGCCGGAGGUAAACCAAACUAUUGCAUUAAUGGCCUCUCUGAGUCUUCUGUACUGAAUAAGUCAAAACUUUCAACAACGGAUCUCUUGGUUCUGGCAUCGAUGAAGAACGCAGCGAAAUGCGAUAAGUAGUGUGAAUUGCAGAAUUCAGUGAAUCAUCGAAUCUUUGAACGCACAUUGCGCCCCUUGGUAUUCCAUGGGGCAUGCCUGUUCGAGCGUCAUUUCAACCAUCAAGCCUUUGCUUGCGUUGGGGCCCCGCGGCUGCCGCGGCCCCCUAAAUCUAGUGGCGGGCUCGUCGUCGUACCGAGCGCAGUAGACAUCCUCGCUCCGGGAACCCGACGGGUGCCGGCCGUGAAACCCCCCACAUCAAGGUUGACCUCGGAUCAGGUAGGAAUACCCGCUGAACUUAAGCAUAUCAAUAAGCGGAGGA